GGAAGCGUAGCUCAGAUGGUAGAGCGCUUGAUUAGCAUUUGAGAGGUACGGGGAUCAAUACCCUGCACCUCCA